CAGGAUGUUUGUUCAGGAGAUUUUUCAUAUAGGUCUCUUGGCUCUCAAAGCCAUCUGAAGGCGUGGAACACCCACAUAGGCCAAGCAUGGGGAUAUUCUCUUCUGGAUAAGUGUACUCAAUAGUCCAUAGUACAAAACAUGAACCUGUUGAUGAGCCUCAGUUGGAGCUGUGUCUUCCUUGCUUUAUGUCUGGGACGGAACUUUCCAGUUUCUGGUCCAAGCCAGAUCUAUCCUAGACUCACCAAUGCCCCUUGUCCAGGUGGAAGCUUUCAUUGUCUCCUGGAAAAGCCCAGGAUCUUUAAGUCUGGGACUUGGAUCUAUGGACUGAUCAGACAACAAACUGCUCUUUCAGAAGGUCCAUGUUUUCUUGGGCAGUACAGAGGCAGGAAAGCCAAAUACAUACAUGUCUAGUCACCCAUGAAAUUAUUAGCAAGACUCAGUUUUGACCAAGAAACAAAAGAAGUCUACUGCCGGGAGGGUGGGUAUGUUGGGAAGAGAUUUUGCUCCUUAAUUAAAAAAAAAAAACAAAAACAAACCAACCAACAAAACCAAAACCCAAACCAGACAUGGUUGCUCUUUUUAUACUUCCUUUCUUUUUCCUAACUUCAACAGAAACAUUUGAUGACUGGAGUCUCAGCAACUAUUCUGUGACCUUGAAAACAAAAUCACACAAAAGGAAAGCUGAGCCGAAAACUAGGAGUUCGGGUCUUUUGGGGUCUUUGUCCUCAGUGAGCUGUGGCUGAGUUUUGGAUCCUCUCCUUACUCUCUGUUAUGUAAGAAAAAGAAGCCGCCUUUAUUUGUGCUGUUGUUACUCUGGUUUUCUAACAGAAGGUAAACGUCGCCAUCAAUGCUACCGCAACAGAAGAAGUCUGGUGGAACUGUGAACCAUUAAAUGGUUUCUGGAACAGGGUUAGGGCAAGAGAGUUGCUGUGGUCAUUUCUCAAAUCAGGAAAUCUUUCUCAUCCUGGGCCCUUGAAAUGCUGCAGAGAUUGGCUCAAACACCAGGGGGGCUGAAUU